UACGUAGGGGGCUAGCGUUGUCCGGAAUCAUUGGGCGUAAAGAGCGUGUAGGCGGUCCGGUAAGUCCGCUGUGAAAGUCGGGGGCUCAACCCACGAAUGCCGGUGGAUACUGUCGGGCUAGAGUGCGGAAGAGGCGAGUGGAAUUCCUGGUGUAGCGGUGAAAUGCGCAGAUAUCAGGAGGAACACCUAUUGCGAAGGCAGCUCGCUGGGACGUAACUGACGCUGAGACGCGAAAGCGUGGGGAGCAAACAGG
rnacentral:rRNA from 1 species